UUAACUCUUUUAGAGUGAAAUUGGAUAUUGAGAUACGGAAUAUUCGACGCUCUGAAAAGUGAAGGAACCAAACGAUGCGCGUCGUUAUAAUUGAAGAAACGAGUGGAUGGGACGAUAAUUCUGCCAGUCUGCAACGCAAUCCUGCUUGAGAAAGGAUCGAAAGGACCUCCUCCCGCAGCCCCUACUACCCGCUUUCCACGAUGCUGCGCGAGAUGAACGGAGGUCCUAUUUCCGGCCGAUAUUUAAAUCCGAGGGGGACCGAAUCCGCUCGACCUUAACCGAAGCGUUCGGGUCCGGCUGUCACAUUCGUGGCGUACCGAAUGCUCGUCUCUCGUGGCGGCGACGGCGGCGACGGCGGCGGCGUAACGCGUUAAUGAAAAUGGCAACGCGUCGCGACGCCAUGUGGCAGCCUCAACGGAAUACGUAUGGCCGCAAAUUGCGCUGCUUUAUCAAUCUGAAAUAACAUCGGCGCGGAAUAAUUAGCGACGACGCGAAACUUACGAGGACUUCAUCGACCAACGGAAGGAUCAUGUUACGGUAUGGCUGACAUAUAUUUUCAGUUCGCAAGCAGAGGAUAGCGAAAGAAUUAAUUCGCAAAGCAAAUCACAUACCACACGCAGCAAUUUAGAAAUAAACAGGGAAUCUUCAAAAUAGUUCAAUGAAAAAUAUUUCUGAAAAAAUAGUGCAUUUAGUCUGUUAAGUCUGCUGCAAAAUUGUGUCAAUAAAAGAACAUUGUGAUGAAGAAAUAUAUUUUUAGGAGAUAUUAG
rnacentral:lncRNA from 1 species